rnacentral:lncRNA from 1 species
CAUGCAAGGGAAACAACCACUUCUGGGAUGUCCGCUGCAAUCUGCUCCGGGGCUGCAGCAACCUCAUCAGCUCUUGCCUGGAGUGGCUCAGCCUGGGCCUGCAGGGUGACCAGAGAGGGCAGACAGCAGUCCUCUGUCCCAGGUCUUCUAUAGCAAGGAGCAGCCGUGCACAAGUGGACUUCCCCUAUUUAAAGGUCUUUUGGGAUGAGGUGUCCUAAUUUCCGGGGUUACUUUCUGUUGGGUCCAUUAAAUAAUUGUGGUGGCAAGGACAGUUGAGAAAUUUGGUGGGAAGGUGAGGUUAAAGUAGAACUCCACAGAGGAACCUCUCAUCUACCUUGGUCAGCCCUGGCCAGGCCCAGGCAGCAACCAACUAUGGAUUCUCAAUGGCUCCUAACACAGUUGACCCUGUG